UACGAAGGGGGCUAGCGUUGCUCGGAAUGACUGGGCGUAAAGGGCGCGUAGGCGGCUUGUAUAGUCGGAUGUGAAAUCCCCGGGCUCAACCUGGGAAUGGCAUUUGGGACUGCAAGGCUUGAGUGCGGCAGAGGAGACUGGAAUUCCUGGUGUAGCAGUGAAAUGCGUAGAUAUCAGGAGGAAUACCGAUGGCGAAGGCAGGUCUCUGGGCUGACACUGACGCUCAUGCACGAAAGCGUGGGGAGCAAACAGG
rnacentral:rRNA from 1 species